rfam:Burkholderiales bacterium 68-12 scnpilot_p_inoc_scaffold_254, whole genome shotgun sequence.
GGGUUCUUAGCUCAGUUGGUAGAGCAGCGGACUCUUAAUCCGUAGGUCGUAGGUUCGAAUCCUACAGGACCCA